rnacentral:lncRNA from 10 species
UGGACAUGAAUCACCAUGGAUCUGGUUACGUUGCAGAUUCUGACUCAGCAGGUCUGAGGCGGGGCCUGACAUUCUGCACGGCUGGCCUGCUCCGGGCGCUGCUGAUGCUGCUGGUUCCUGGACCACCCUUGAGACCCUGGAUGACCUCUGAGGUGCUGCCUCCUUGCAAAAACCCUCAGCUCUUGGGACCUCUCCCUGCGCUUCCGAAGCCCUUUCAGAUAUUUUCCUGUAGCCCUCACAAAGAGCUUGGGGUUGCGGUUUCUGCCGCUGUUGACUCUCACGUGGGGUUGUCAUGUCAGGGAAACAUGGAAAGGAAGGGAGGUGAAAAGAGACAAUAGGAAAACCGUAGGCUGUGACGGGAAAAAAUGAAACAGAUGAGUGAGAAGAAAAGUCCAAGAGCCAGGAUGACGGCGCAGUGAUGGCUCACUUUGCGUUGCUGUUCCGUCCACUGUUCCACUGACUGUGAACUCUGUCAGAGGGAGAUUUUUUUGAAACUCAUAAACUUUCAAGAACAUGAGAGGAGAACAGCAGCACAGUCUGGGAGUCUGAGCAACAGAUGGACGAGUGGUAACUGCUUUAGCAGAUUUGGGAAGGCUGAAUCCCCAGCUGGUGGUUGAGAAAAUGGAAAAUCAACUCCAUGUACGCAGCUGAAUCCUCAAAACACGCAGGAGUGGGUGGCACCAGUGGAGAAAUUUGGCAGAUAGAACCUUAACCACGUGGCUGGAGCUAAAGUCACCAAUAGGCAGAUGCGCUAAUGUAACUGAGGACCCGGUGUCACUUGGGUUGCUAUGGUUCUGCCCAAAAUGCAUGUCCUCAAUCCAAUGACUAAUCCAACAAACUCAAUUGAAGAACAUGCUACAAAGCAACUGGCCUAUGCUCUUCAAAGCUGCCAGCGUCAGGAUGGUUGCAGAUACUGGGCUGCGGAAGAGGGCAGGUGGCAAUGGAGCCAAUCGGUGGGGACAGGACUGCUCAUGGAGCAUUGAGAAGGAAGCCUCUGGGAAGAGGAUUCAGAACCAGACAAGGAAAGGACCUGAGGUUGUCUGAGCUCCACAUCCUCCAAGACCGAGUUGAAAUGUUACCUUCCUGAAGAGCCUUCCUGAUUCCUAAGGGGAUUGCUCACCUCUCGUUUAUGCCUCCAUUGGGCAUUGAUUACGGAUGGCGGAGCAACCAGGAGGCUUCUAAGGGCUUCAUCCUGUAGGCGAGAUCGAUGAGGCGCCCACUGUUCUCAUCGGCAGCACUGCAAUGGUAUUUCCCAGACCACACUGGUAGCAGGUGAGUAUUAGGACCUGGAUGAAGGCUCUGCAGUGAAGUCAGUGGGAGAAUCUCUGCCUCCAACACUCAGCUUUUGGAAAUUCACAUUUACAGUGCACAUUUGAAUCCCAGAGUCUCUGAAAAGGCCUGCUGUAAAUAAAUAGUUUGAUU